rnacentral:rRNA from 1 species
UGCGUAGGCGGUUUAAUAAGUCAGAGGUGAAAGCUCACAGCUUAACUGUGGAAUUGCCUUUGAUACUGUUGAACUUGAAUCAGGUUGAGGUUGGCGGAAUGUGACAUGUAGCGGUGAAAUGCAUAGAUAAGUCAUAGAACACCAAUUGCGAAGGCAGCUAGCUGGACCUGCAUUGACGCUGAGGCACGAAAGCGUGGGGAGCGAACAGGAUUAGAUACCCUGGUAGUCC